rnacentral:rRNA from 1 species
ACUUGGCAAUGCGAGAAAUCGUGACCAGGGAACUCCAAGUGCGUAGGGUAAGACCUACGCUUUUCUUGACUCUUCAAAGGUCUUGGAAUAAGGGGUGGGUAAGGACGGUGCCAGCCGCCGCGGUAAUACCGGCGCCUCAAGUGGUAGUCGCUUUUAUUGGGCCUAAAACGUCCGUAGCCGGUCUGGUGCAUUCGUGGGUAAAUCAACCCGCUCAACGGGUUGAAUUCUGCGAGCACGGCCAGACUUGGGACCGGGAGAGGUGUGGGGUACUCUCAGGGUAGGGGUAAAAUCCUGUCAUUCUGAGAGGACCACCUGUUGCGAAGGCGCCACACUAGAACGGAUCCGACGGUCAGGGGCGAAACCUAGGGGCACGAACCGGAUUAGAUACCCCUGUAGU